GCGCCGCGGGACGCGCCGGCGGCGGCCGAGAGUGAGGGUGGCGAGCGCGUGGACGCACCUCCCGACGUGCUGGUUGCCCGCGCUCUCGGGCGCGGCCGGACGGCGGCGGAGCGCGCGCGGGAGACCCCCCCCUUCUCCCGCGCCAGAGCCUUGGGCCCCGCGGGAGCUUUGGGCCCCCUCCCCGCGUUUCCGGGGCGCGCGCGUUUUCGGGGGGCG
rnacentral:misc_RNA from 1 species